AGAUUGAACGCUAGCGGGAUGCUUUACACAUGCAAGUCGAACGGCAGCGCGGACUUCGGUCUGGCGGCGAGUGGCGAACGGGUGAGUAAUAUAUCGGAACGUGCCCAGUAGCGGGGGAUAACUACGCGAAAGCGUGGCUAAUACCGCAUACGCCCUACGGGGGAAAGGGGGGGAUCGCAAGACCUCUCACUAUUGGAGCGGCCGAUAUCAGAUUAGCUAGUUGGUGAGGUAAAGGCUCACCAAGGCGACGAUCUGUAGCUGGUUUGAGAGGACGACCAGCCACACUGGGACUGAGACACGGCCCAGACUCCUACGGGAGCAGCAGGUGGGAAUUUGGACAAGUGGGGGAAACCCUGAGUCCAGCCAUCCCGCGUGUGCGA
rnacentral:rRNA from 1 species